GAUGAACGCUGGCGGCGUGCCUAAUACAUGCAAGUCGAGCGAACGGACGAGAAGCUUGCUUCUCUGAUGUUAGCGGCGGACGGGUGAGUAACACGUGGAUAACCUACCUAUAAGACUGGGAUAACUUCGGGAAACCGGAGCUAAUACCGGAUAAUAUUUUGAACCGCAUGGUUCAAAAGUGAAAGACGGUCUUGCUGUCACUUAUAGAUGGAUCCGCGCUGCAUUAGCUAGUUGGUAAGGUAACGGCUUACCAAGGCAACGAUGCAUAGCCGACCUGAGAGGGGGGUCGGCCACCCGGGAACGGAGACACGGACCAGACUCCUACGGGAGGCAGCAGAAGGGAAUCUUCCGCAAUGGGCGAAAGCCUGACGGAGCAACGCCGCGUGAGUGAUGAAGAUCUUCGGAUCGUAAAACUCUGUUAUUAGGGAAGAACAUAUGUGUAAGUAACUGUGCACAUCUUGACGGUACCUAAUCAGAAAGCCACGGCUAACUACGUG
rnacentral:rRNA from 1 species